rnacentral:rRNA from 1 species
UACGAAGGGGGCUAGCGUUGCUUGGAAUCACUGGGCGUAAAGGGUGCGUAGGCGGGUCUUUAAGUCAGGGGUGAAAUCCUGGAGCUCAACUCCAGAACUGCCUUUGAUACUGAGGAUCUUGAGUUCGGGAGAGGUGAGUGGAACUGCGAGUGUAGAGGUGAAAUUCGUAGAUAUUCGCAAGAACACCAGUGGCGAAGGCGGCUCACUGGCCCGAUACUGACGCUGAGGCACGAAAGCGUGGGGAGCAAACAGG